GGUUUGUGCUGCACUCAGAAGACUGCCUAAACCUUAUGUAUAGCAGGUUGCUGCGUGCCUGGCACGGUGUAAAUAUUGUUGCAUAGUGGACUGGAAGCAGGCACUAUACAUACAACUUGUAAAUACUCCGCUAGUAGUUUGAAAUGUAGACGUUUAUGACAUGCUAUCUUAACAUUCACUCCAUGCACCCCCACUGGAGAAAUGGUUAUGGUAGAGAACCUUUUAAUCCUGUAUGAAUUCAUACUGGUGGUGUUCAGUAGAGAGUCUCAGCUAAUUACCACUGCCCAUUGUUGCCUAAUGCUUCCUCGGCUUAUAAGGACCUGUUUGUUGGUAAAUGUAACCUUAAAACAUCAAAACACAGUUUUAACACUGAAAAGGAUGGAUGGCUCCAGUUACUAUAACAACGUAAAUGAGAUUAAGUGGUUACAAUAUUUUGAGUGUCCUUUCAGGAUCUACAUUAUUAUCCUUAAAGAUGCUGUGCUGGUGUAGAAUGUCCUGCUUAAUUUGCAUACAGCCCUGUAAUUGCUAAAUGAGCAGAACAUUCCCUUGUUAAAAAGAACUCAAGUACUUUAGCUUCCUGAAAUACUUUGCUUGAAAGCCAGGGGUGUAGCC